UACGUAGGGUGCAGGCGUUAAUCGGAAUUACUGGGCGUAAAGCGUGCGCAGGCGGUUUUGCUAAGACAGGUGUGAAAAUCCCCCGGGCUUAACCUGGGAACUGCGCUUGUAACUGGCAAGCUAGGAGUGUGGCAGAGGGGGGGUGGAAUUCCACGUGUAGCAGUGAAAUGCGUAGAGAUCAGGAGGAACACCAAUGGCGAAGGCAGCUCUCUGGCUUCACCCUGACGCUGAGGCGCGAAAGCGUGGGGAGCGAACGGG
rnacentral:rRNA from 1 species